GGGGCUGAUUCUGGAUUCGACGGGAUUUGCGAAACCCAAGGUGCAUGCCGAGGGGCGGUUGGCCUCGUAAAAAGCCGCAAAAAAUAGUCGCAAACGACGAAAACUACGCUUUAGCAGCUUAAUAACCUGCUUAGAGCCCUCUCUCCCUAGCCUCCGCUCUUAGGACGGGGAUCAAGAGAGGUCAAACCCAAAAGAGAUCGCGUGGAAGCCCUGCCUGGGGUUGAAGCGUUAAAACUUAAUCAGGCUAGUUUGUUAGUGGGCGUGUCCGUCCGCAGCUGGCAAGCGAAUGUAAAGACUGACUAAGCAUGUAGUACCGAGGAUGUAGGAAUUUCGGACGCGGGUUCAACUCCCGCCAGCUCCACCA
rnacentral:tmRNA from 1 species